rnacentral:lncRNA from 1 species
ACAGAAACCAGCACCAGAUGAGAUGUUCUCCUGGAAGCUUUGGGAAAGGCCAUCUCAGUCCCAUAGAGACUGGAGACUUUAGGAAGAGAGAGCCCCCAGUCUUGGAAAAACAAUUCCUAAUAGGAGAGACACCAGUUCCUGUUCAUAAGAGGUACCAAGUUGGGCGUCCUUGGACCCAGACAUAAGCUGGGGAGCCAGAGAAACCUGGAUGGAACAGGGACCCUAAGAAGUGGCUGAAUAACCACCAGGAGAGAGGGAGUGGCUUCCUGAACAGGAGCUGACCUGCAAGACCGGAAGAGGGAGGAGGAGAGGAGCUGGCUGAGUGAUGAACAGGGGCCAGCACUGAAGUACUGGGAAGAGAUGAGGGGCUACAGCGUUGGUGGCAGGGGAGCGCAGAGCCUGCAUAAAAGCAUCCAGGAAAACACCUUGAUGAGUCUUCAUAGAACAUUUUGGUGAGAAAGAGGACAGACUGUGGGCCCAAGCUGGAAGAGAAGACCAGGCUAAGAGGAACUGAAUUGCUUUGCAUAGCAAAGGAGCAGGGUAGGAGGCCCAGAAAGGAGAAGAAGAGAGAAAAGCCCAGGGUUCCCAGCUGAUAGCACUGACUGGAUGCAGACCUCAGGAAUGUUGGUUGGAGCUGAAUAUGGCUGUCCUUGUUUCAUGGAGCCUGGACCCCAUGGUUCAUCCUAGUCCCUCCUUGAACCCAUCCACUUUGGCUGCUUUUCUGUCCCAGGUAGGAUUUAGAAUUUGUGAUCCUCACUGGGCCUAGAGUGCAAUCACGUGCAAUCACGUGCAAUCAUAGGAUCAAGAAGGAACCUAGGAGAGACCCCCUCCAAUGACAGAGAAUGGCCAAUACCUUUGAGUGCCUGCUCUGUGUUCUAAGAACAGGCAACACUCUAACCUAUAGAGAUAGAAAUCAGAAUGGUGAUAGCUUUUGUGAGGGGCUGGCUUCUUGGGUGCUGG